GAUCUUCUUCCUUCGGAACCAAAACCAGUCCUACCCCCACCCCCAACCCUAUUCAUCUUCUUCCGUCUGCCUUUCUUCUGCGUCUCCUCCCUUUUUCCUAAUCCACUCUCCAUCCAACUAAUUAAACACAUAUCUUUCCAUUAGACCCCUUCCCCUUUCCACCUUCUUCUCCAACAUGUCCUACACUCAAAAUUUAUCCGUCGUACUUGAAAUUUAACUGCAAAUCUUUCUAUAAAACUAAUACAAAUAUAAAAUAAAAGAUAAUAUCCAAAGCAGAGUAUCCACUAUGGAAUCAUUGACCGACCUCGUCGAAAAAAGCUCAUCUCUUUCCUCUGAAAAUUAAUCUCCCAUCAAAGCCGAAAGAAAUGAUUCUAUUGAAAAAGUUAAAAGGAGGGCCAGUGGCUGAUGCUGAGAUCUUUGCGGAGACACAUAAGAAGAAAUAAGACGGUUUAAGGGAAGGAUGGGUUGAGACACGUGCAUCGGAACAAUAUGUAACAUCAUAACUUUAAGACUAUUUUUACAGUUUUUAGCUAAAAUUGUCCCUUAUCUUCGGGAUUAAAUCUAAUUUUGUCCUCAUACUUCCUUGAGGCACAUUGAAACUUGCCAUCUUUGAAUACUACAUUUCCUCCGUUCUUAGUUUUAUCACAUGCUUCAAUUUUUCUCUUUUGUAUCCAUCUUCCAAAAUGGUUUCUCCUGUAUAAAUCAAGAAAAUGGUUUUUAAAA
rnacentral:lncRNA from 1 species